AGCGAACGCUGGCGGCAGGCCUAACACAUGCAAGUCGAACGAACCUUUCGGGGUUAGUGGCGGACGGGUGAGUAACACGUGGGAACGUGCCUUUAGGUUCGGAAUAACUCAGGGAAACUUGUGCUAAUACCGAAUGUGCCCUUCGGGGGAAAGAUUUAUCGCCUUUAGAGCGGCCUGCGUCUGAUUAGCUAGUUGGUUGAGGUAAUGGCUCACCAAGGCGACGAUCAGUAGCUGGUCUGAGAGGAUGAUCAGCCACAUUGUGACUGAGACACGGCCCAAACUCCUACGGGAAGCAGCAGUGGGGAAUCUUGCGCAAUGGGCGAAAGCCUGACGCAGCCAUGCCGCGUGAAUGAUGAAGGUCUUAGGAUUGUAAAAUUCUUUCACCGGGGACGAUAAUGACGGUACCCGGAGAAGAAGCCCCGGCUAACUUCGUG
rnacentral:rRNA from 1 species